rnacentral:rRNA from 1 species
GGGUUGUGAGGUUAAGCGACUAAGCGUACACGGUGGAUGCCCUGGCAGUCAGAGGCGAUGAAGGGCGUGCUAAUCUGCGAUAAGCGCCGGUAAGGUGAUAUGAACCGUUAUAACCGGCGAUACCCGAAUGGGGAAACCCAGUGUGAUUCGUCACACUAUCAUUAACUGAAUCCAUAGGUUAAUGAGGCGAACCGGGGGAACUGAAACAUCUAAGUACCCCGAGGAAAAGAAAUCAACCGAGAUUCCCCCAGUAGCGGCGAGCGAACGGGGAGGAGCCCAGAGCCUGAAUCAGCAUGUGUGUUAGUGGAAGCGUCUGGAAAGGCGCGCGAUACAGGGUGACAGCCCCGUACACAAAAGCGCAUGUGUUGUGAGCUCGAUGAGUAGGGCGGGACACGUGGUAUCCUGUCUGAAUAUGGGGGGACCAUCCUCCAAGGCUAAAUACUCCUGACUGACCGAUAGUGAACCAGUACCGUGAGGGAAAGGCGAAAAGAACCCCGGCGAGGGGAGUGAAAAAGAACCUGAAACCGUGUACGUACAAGCAGUGGGAGCACAGGUUUACCUGUGUGACUGCGUACCUUUUGUAUAAUGGGUCAGCGACUUAUAUUCUGUAGCAAGGUUAACCGAAUAGGGGAGCCGGAGGGAAACCGAGUCUUAAU